AAGCCUCUGUAUGAAGCAUUGAUCUCCUAUGUGAAGGCAUAGAAAGUGUACUAUGGCGACCCGAUGGCGGUAACAGAGAACAACAAAAACUAUUUUGUGGAGAAUUUCAAAGAUAAACAUCCAGGAUAUGCUAUUAUUUGUAUGGCUGUUGUUAAUAAUGCCAUUGUGCAUGUUGUAUCAACUGAGGCAGACAAAACUCCAGAUCAGGCUGCAGACAAUAAUAUUGUAUCAAUACCAUACUCUUCUGUGCUGGAAACUAACGUCUAUGAUUUGCAUGUUGGCAUCAUGAGAUCGCUGAUAUCCAAAUCAGCUAAACCAAUCACUUCUCUAUCUAUAUAUAAAUGGUACUGAAGAAGAAUGUGUAGAAACUGUCAACCAUGAUCCAAUAGAGCCUUAGAAAAUAUGAGAAGGGGACAAGGAAAUGCAGGAGACCGAUAAAGAACAAGGGGGCAUAAUUUUUCAAGACAGGACAGGAGAAAGGGCAAGAACCAGAGGGUUAGAUGGAAGGAUAGAUCGUGAUCUUGAAGGGAAUUUGGUAAUACCCUAAGAUGAUGUUGUGAAGCUGUUACCUCAUCAUAUAGCCGAAUGUUUAUUCAGAAGGUAUAUAUUGUAUCACAAUAAAGGAGUAUUUCUAAACAGAUUGGUUCCCUAAUGUCAUCUUAAAUGUAUAAAGACUGUAUACCACUUUCCAUAGGGGAAUGAACAGAUUACCAGUUCACAGCAAAUGAAAGUUGCAUUUAUAAUGCAGUGUCCAUUAUCCUCUAUAGAAAUGAAGAUACGGCUGUGGUACUGAAGCUGGCUGAAGUGUUGAAAUGGUGGAUAAUAUGGUAUCAUUUCCAAAAUAUAUUGUAGAAGAAUUCAAAGAGAAAACUGACCUGUGGGUUAAAUCUACCCUGCAGCAGGUGAUUGCAGCCUCAACAGCAGAGGAAGUAGAGUAUGGAUGCAGAAAAGAGCUGGUCUCGACUAUUCAAUAUCCAUACAGGGACCCGAACUGUUUCCCAUUGUUGUUUCCCAUUGUUUUCAUGUCCAAUACAACAGCACUGCAAAAAAUACCAGCAGUACAGCAGCUGAUCGUGCCACCAUUAACAUUCUCAGCUAGACUAUCAUCUUUACACUUGGUUUUGAUGCCUACCAAGCCAAGACAUAUGUAAGAUAUAAAAGGUGUAGGCCUCACUUCAUCCUGCAAUCAGCUAACUAUUGUACAAAUAACAGCAUUGAAUACUACACAAAUUUGCAGGUUAAAGACCUGGAUAUGGAUUUCGAUGUUUAUAUACAAGUUCUAUGUUAAAAAGAAGAAGUAAACAAGCUUAUGGCUGAACUGGUUCUCACGAGACAUAAACCAGCUGACCACUGUCAAUCAUCUCAUGUUGACAACUUUAUAUCAUUCCAUGUUGAUCACUGCAUAUCAUUGUGACAUCCAUUUUCAUUUUUUUCUUCUUCAAAAAACGUUUAUCUGUAGAUAUUUGUUGCAAAACCUGUUGACUAAAUCUAUAUUUAAAGUGGCAACCCAUAUAUUUAAAUUUUUUUUAUGAUAUAUAAUCUCUUAUAUCAACUUUUUAGCUCACCUGGCCUAAAGGGCCAAUUGAGCUUUUCUCAUCACUUGUAGUCUGUCGUCAUUAACUUUAAUAAAAAUCUUUCCCUCUAAAACUACUGGGCAAAAUUUAACCAAACUUAGCCACAACCAUCAUUGGGUUAUCUAGUUUCAAAAAUGUGUCUGGUGACAGGGCAAACCAAACGGAUGGCCGCCACUGCUAAAGAUAGAACAUAGGGGUAAAAUGUAGAUUUUAACUUGUAUUUCUGAAACCAAAGCAUGUAGAGCAAAUCUGAAAAGGGGUAAAAUUGUUUAUCAGAUUAAGAUCUAUCUGCUUAGAAAUUUUCAGAUGAAGCAGACAACCCUUUGUUGGGUUGCUGCCCCUGAAUUAGUAAUUUUAAGGAAAUUUUUCCGUUUUUGGUUAUUAUCUUGAAUAUUAUUAUAGAUAGAGAUAAACUGUAAACAGCAAUAAUGUUCAGCAAAGUAAGAUCUACAAAAAAGUCAACAUGACCAAAAUGGUCAAUUGUC